AUUACAGUUCUUGUUUAUUUUUUGAGUAGGAAUCUCACUCUGUUGCCUAAACUGGAGCGCAGUAGU
rnacentral:snoRNA from 1 species